rnacentral:lncRNA from 1 species
GCUGGGUUUACAGGCGUGAGCCACGGCGCCCGGCCUUGAGACACUUUCGGGAACUUUAAAAGAUGCCUACCACCAUUUGUCUCUCAUGAAGAUGUGAACUGCGACUGGAAACAGCUCAGUCUCUCACAGGGAAAGCACAAUGACACAGAAGGAAAUAUAGAAGUCCCCAAAUUAGGAAUCUUGGAUUUUAGACCCAGUGUUCCCUUAACUGCUUAAAGUGUGACCUCAAGCCAUAUACUGACAUCAACACUUAGGAAGAAAUAGGACUGCAAUGAGGACAAAACCUGUUACAGGGAAAGGAAAUGAUAGAGGCCUGGAAAACAAAGCAAAUAACAAGAGUCAGAUGUUGAAGGAAUAGAGGGAAAUAUACUAAGAGGA